GACAGAAUAAAAGGGUCUCUGCUGCCGGUUCCUGGAAAGAACUUCGUGAGGCUGUACAUCCGCAGUAACCCAGACCUCUAUGGCCCCUUUUGGAUAUGUGCCACUUUGGUCUUUGCCAUCGCAAUCAGUGGGAACCUUUCUAACUUCCUAAUCCAUCUGGGAGAGAAGACAUACCAUUAUGUGCCUGAAUUCCAGAAAGUGUCCAUCGCGGCGACUGUCAUCUACGCCUACGCCUGGCUGGUCCCCCUGGCCCUCUGGGGCUUCCUCCUGUGGAGAAACAGCAAAGUGAUGAACAUCGUUUCCUAUUCAUUUCUGGAGAUUGUGUGUGUCUACGGCUACUCGCUCUUCAUUUAUAUCCCCACAGCAGCUUACUUCUUUGACGCUCCAGAGAUGGACCAUCUCCCAGCAGCUAUAACCACUCCCAACCAGACAGUAGCAGCGGCCAAAUCCAGCUAAUAGGGAAAGCAGGUCGUGCCAGAUAACUGUUGGGAAGGUGCGGCUCUUCUGGACACAGCAUCCACUGUUGGAAAGCAGAAGGCCAGCAUCAGCAGGAAACCAAUUGUCAUCGCACUGAAGCCUCAUCACCUAUUAACAAGAAUUAAUUGUUAGUCUGGGGUGUCAGGCACGUGAUGGAACACUUGCCUCACAUACAUGAGGCCCUGAAAGUAAAAUGCACUGAUGAU
rnacentral:lncRNA from 1 species